rnacentral:rRNA from 1 species
AACGAACGCUGGCGGCAUGCCUAACACAUGCAAGUCGAACGAGACCUUCGGGUCUGGUGGUGGACGGGGGCGUAACGCGUGGGAACCCGCCCGUAGGCUCGGACUACCUCAGAGAAAUUUGAGCUAAUACCGGAUAAUGACUUCGGACCAAAGGGUUAUCGCCUUUGGAUGGGUUCGCGUAGGGUUGGCUUGUUGGUGGGGUAAUGGCCUACCGAGGCGACGUUCCUUAGCUGGUCUGAGAGGAUGAUCCGCCACACUGGGACUGCGACACGGCCCAGACUGCUACGGUAGGCAGCAGUGGGGAAUCUUGGACAAUCGGCGAAAGCCUAGGCCAGCAAUGCCGCGUGAUUUAUGCAGCCCUUAGGGUUGUAUAGCUCUUUUACCAUGGAUGAUAAUGACGGUACCUGGAGAAUAAGCUCCGGCUAACUCCGUG